GGAGGGCGGACCGCCGCACGGGUGAGUAACACGUAUGCAACCUGGCUCAUACAGGGGGAUAGGCUUUCGAAAGGGAGAUUAAUACCCCAUAAUACAAGGUUCCUGCAUGGGGAUCUCAGUUAAAGAUUAAUCGGUAUGAGAUGGGCAUGCGUUGGAUUAGAUAGUUGGAAGGGUAACGGCCUCCCAAGUCGACGAUCCAUAGGGGUUCUGAGAGGAAGGUCCCCCACACUGGUACUGAGACAGGGACCAGACUCCUACGGGAGGCAGCAGUGAGGAAUAUUGGUCAAUGGUCGGAAGACUGAACCAGCCAAGUCGCGUGAAGGAAGAAGGUAUUCAGUAUUGCAGACUUCUUUUAUACAGGAAUAAAGUUUUGUAAUAAUACAAAUUUGCAGGUACUGUAUGAAUAAGCAUCGGCUAACUCCGUGCCAGCAGCCGCGGUAAUACGGAGGAUGCGAGCGUUAUCCGGAUUUAUUGGGUUUAAAGGGUGCGUAGGUUGUGAUAUAAGUCAGCGGUGAAAAGUACGGGCUUAACCUGUAUCUUGCCGAUGAAACUGUAUGACUAGAGAUCACGCGAGGCAGGCGGAAUUCGUAGUGUAGCGGUGAAAUGCAUAGAUAUUACGAAGAACACCGAUAGCGUAGGCAGCUUGCCAGAGUAUAUCUGACACUGAAGCACGAAAGUGUGGGAAUCAAACAGGAUUAGAUACCCUGGUAGUCCACACGGUAAACGAUGAAUACUAACUGUUUGCUCACAAGGUAAGCGGUCAAGCGAAAGCGAUAAGUAUUCCACCUGGGGAGUACGCCGGCAACGGUGAAACUCAAAGGAAUUGACGGGGGCCCGCACAAGCGGAGGAACAUGUGGUUUAAUUCGAUGAUACGCGAGGAACCUUACCCGGGCUCGAACGGCUAUGGAAUGUCUGUGAAAGCAGACAGGUCGCAAGACCUGUAGUCGAGGUGCUGCAUGGUUGUCGUCAGCUCGUGCCGUGAGGUGUCGGCUUAAGUGCCAUAACGAGCGCAACCCUUACCGGGAGUUACCAUCAGAUAAAGCUGGGGACUCUGCCGGGACUGCCGCCGUAAGGCGUGAGGAAGGUGGGGAUGACGUCAAAUCAGCACGGCCCUUACGUCCGGGGCGACACACGUGUUACAAUGGGCGGGACAAAGGGUCGCUACCGUGCGAGCGGAUGCGAAUCUCAAAACCCGCUCCCAGUUCGGAUUGGAGUCUGCAACCCGACUCCAUGAAGCUGGAUUCGCUAGUAAUCGCGCAUCAGCCAUGGCGCGGUGAAUACGUUCCCGGGCCUUGUACACACCGCCCGUCAAGCCAUGGAAGCCCGGGGGUACCCUGAAGUACGUAACCCGCAAGGGGACUCCC
rnacentral:rRNA from 1 species